rnacentral:pre_miRNA from 13 species
GUUUUUCUCCUGGUAUCCACUGCAGGCCUAUAUGUUAUUUGACCAUAAGGCACGCGGUGAAUGCCAAGAGCGAACGA